rnacentral:lncRNA from 1 species
GCCGUUGGACUAGGUGUAGAAGUCAUCGCCCUCCUGGUUCUAAUGAGGUGUGACAACUACAAAAUUGGAAAUCAAUUUGUUUCGUACACAAAGAUUUAACUUACCAUACACAUGCUAAUAAUUUAAACUUAAAUUUAAAACAAAAUUUAAAAGCCCUAAUUCUAAACCCAAUUCAAGUUUGGCAGAAAUAAAACUUAAAACUGAUAUACUAUACACAAACUAAUCAAUUCAGAUAGGUACAGACCCAACAAUUAUAACUUAUAAGAAGAAACUAGCAUAAAGGACAUCCUUACAAGUUUACUACCUAAAACCAAACAAAUGUGAGGUGCCUUGAAUAUCCUUACUACCUUAUGUUUAAAUAAAGAUCUCAUAACAAACUAAUAAUGUGAGAGAAAGCAUAUCAUUAUUUACUAGUAAAAUCUAGAUUUGCUUAAAAAUUGGGAGGCCGAAUUCAACAAGCAAUACAACUGAGUCUAUCAUAUUAAUAAGGCAACAACAAAGGCUAAUACCCCAUUAUAUAUCAAGAAAUCGUGGCAGUCAACAAUGCAAAUCUCUAAAAACUUAUUCCACAAAUGUAUAGUGUAAUUCAUUUUUUUUCUUUCAAACCUACAAUAGGGAACACUUCCUACAAUAUUUUAAAUUCCAACAUAAAAACCACAAACAUAAAUAUAUUUCAUCUAAUCGUAAUAAAAGAGAAUUAAAAAGGUGAAUUAUAGGAUAUCAAGAUAAAUAAAUAAAAGGAUUGUUGCAUAUUGAAAAGUGUAAGUGCAAUGUUGUGGAUGCAUAGAACACAGGAAAACAUUAACAAAUCCCUAAUUUAAGAACCCUGUACUUAAAUUUUAAAAACCCCUAAUUCGAACCCUGUACUUGAAAUUAAAAAACCCUUAAUUUAAGAACCCUAAUCUAACCCCCAGUGAAGUACCCUAAAUCUAACCCCCAAUUUAAGACAACCUAAUCUAACCUCACUACCCAAAAUCGUUCCCCUAAUUUAAGACCUAAAUCUAUCCCCAAUUAAGAACCCUAAAAACUCUAAUUUAAGAACCCAAAUGUAACCCGCAACUUACGAACCUUAAAUCUAACCCGACUGCCCUAAUUCUAACCACCAAUUUGAAAAAGAAAAAAAACCAAAAAAACCCUAAUUCUAACCCCCAAUUUGUAAAUAAAGAAAAUUGAAAAUAAAAACUAAAGAGGAAAUUACCUCUUGGAGACGAAGUCGCGACGGUCAGAUAGAAGGACAUAGAGACAGAUGGAGAUAUAGAGGAAGAAGAGAGAGGGUAUUGCACAGGGAAAAAGGAAGAAGAGGGAAGUGAGGGGAAGAAGGAGAGAUGGGGUUAAAAUAUAGAAUCUUGCGCUACAGAGCCUUUGUCUCGCAAGGCUAAAAAAUCGUCGCGCAAGUUUUUUAAAAUUUUCGCGAAAAAAAGCGCCUUAAUUGAAAUUUCAGACACUUGCGUGACAAAUAUAAUAUUACGUCGCGCAAAUAUAAUUUGUGCGACGAAAUAUAUGUAUUCAUCGUACAAUAUUCCCGUGUAAAUUUAAAAUAGUCGUUAAAUUAGUUUUGUCCCGUUACUUGAUCUCUGAAUGUUUGUUUUUUGCGAUUUUUGGCGUAUGCGAUCUCGAACCAUAUACAAACAAGUUUGAUGGUUGGAUCGUUGAAAUUAGUUUCGUAGAAUGCGUAUCCCAUCAAAACAAUAGAUUCACUAACACUUAGAGUUUAUUUAUACAUUCAUUAAGUAUAACAUAAGAUAUUGUGGUAUCCACUAAUGUAAAUAGUUUAAAUUGAAUAUCGAAUUCAUUCAUUGUAUUCAUAUAGGGUCAAGAGUGUAGUUGUAAAAAAUCAUCAAAAUCGGAGUUAAAAUAACCGUUAAAUCGUGAUUUUUCGUUUCUAACCGUCGAAAAGUUUUGUCCCGUUACUUGAUCUCUAAAUGUUUGUUUUUUGCGAUUUUUUGCGUAUGCGAUCUUGAACCAUAUACAAACAAGUUUGACGGUUAGAUCGUUGAAAUUAGUUUCGUAGAAUGUGUAUCCCAUCAAAAAGAUAUAUUCACUAACACUUGGAGUUAUUUAUACUUUCAUUAAGUAUAGCAUAAGAUUUUGUGGUACCCACUAGUGUAAAUAGUUUAAAUUGAAGAUCGAAUUCAUUCAUUGUAUUCAUAAUGGGUCAAGGAGUGUAGCUGGAAAAAAAUCAUCAAAAUCGGAGUUAAAAUAACCGUUAAAUCGUGAUUUUUCGUUUCUAACCGUCGAAAAGUUUUGUCCCGUUACUUGAUCUCUGAAUGUUUGUUUUUUGCGAUUUUGGCGUAUGCGAUCUCAAACCAUAUACAAACAAGUUUGAUGGUUGGAUCGUUGAAAUUAGUUUUGUAGAAUGCGUAUCCUAUCAAGUUCAAUGGUGUGUGUGUAUAUAUAUAUUAAGUAGAUUUAAAUUUAUUUAUUUUGUACAUAUAACACUUAAGAAGUUGAAUGGUAUGUAUAUUUAAGCCAAUCCAAUGGUCACCAAUUUUUUAAAUUUAAUUUAAUAUAUAUAUAAUUAUUAUAGUUUUUAGGGGUAUAAAAUUGUUAAAUUAAUAUAUAUAAUUAUUAUGGUAAUUUUUUUAGGGUUAUAAAAUUAUAAAAUUAAUAUUUUGCUUGUCGUGUUGGGUUAUCAGGUCGUGUCAGGAAUUGCUAGGCCUAGCUUGCGCGACCAAAAAUUGUUAUGCGUCACGCAAUUAUGUUUUAAAAUGGUUUUUUAAAUAAUUUUUUUGUUUACUGUUUAUUAUAAAAUACAAACAUACCAAAUUUAUUUACAAAGUAAUUCACAUAUAAAAUGGGAAUCAUUCAUACCAUUUUUUCCAUCACUCUAUAUAAUGCAUUAACCAUUUCAUGUGUUUUACAAAAAAAGUUACAAAUAAAUUGUCUUAAUCUUUAUCCGAACUAUAAUAACUUUCACUUUCGUCGCUAUCAUCAUUUUCAGUGUCCCAUUCCUCAUCAUCGAUAGGUAUGUCACCAUCGUCAUUUGUGUGCACUGGACCUUCGUACCGUGGAAUAUUACCAAGGUCAAUUGUGAUCAACUGAAUCGGUAUUUCUAUUGAAGGGAUGAGUGCAGAUGCACAAUCUGCAAAUUUUUUUGGAGUUUGCCUUUACACUUGGCUGAAUCCAGAUUAAAAAGUUCACUUUUGGACGAACAAUUUUGCGUGACGAAACAGGUCUUCGUAGCGCAAACACCCAUUGCGCGACUAAGACAGAAUUCGUCGCUCAAAUGACAUUUGCGUGCCGAAAAAAGAAGCAUUCAUCGCGCAAGUUUACCAUUUUUUUUAUUUUAUGUCCUUUACUUUACAAUUUAUUUUUUUCAACACAUUGCGUGACGAAAUAAUGUAUCGUCGGGCAAGGCAUAUUUUUUAAUUUUUUUUCUAUUUUAGUUUUUUAUUUGUAUGUAUUGUAAAUUUAUUUUAUUAUAAAUCAAAAACUCAAAACUAAUUAAUUAACAAAACUAAUUUACUAUCCCAAAUAUAAAUUAUAAUUAAUGAAAAUAUUAAUACUCAUCCACAUAACAUAUAUUUAUUCAUUAAAUUAAAUAUAAAGUCCACAAAAUCUUAUUUUAAAAAAAAACAACCCUCAUCAACUUUAAUCCUCUGCCCGCAACACAUCAAACUUCCACUGUCGAAAACUCUUCUUGAAAAGCCCAACCACAUAAAUCCAUUGCUUCUCAUCAGUUUUAUCAACAUCCUAAUAAGCCUACAUUAAUGCCAACAGCAAUAAGUUAGUAAUUUAAAAAAUAUUACGUUUUAACAAAAAUAAUCGUUCAUUAUUUACCACAAACUUACUGAUAACUCUCCCAACAUGGACUUCUUCAACUCCUCAGGGACCUUUUUCCAAGACUCAAACUCAGCAAAACAUUCCCUCCGCACAAAAUUCCCAAUGUCAUACUUAAAUUCGGCGUGCGCCUCAGCCAAAUUUUUUCCUUCAAAGUACGGUACUUCCUUCUGUCAAUACCUAUCUAAUCACACUACAAGUUUUUUUUUCCUAGAACCUUCUCCAAAAUCGGCCAUUCUUUUUUAAACAAUUUUUUUUUGAAAACUAGGGCUCUGAAACUGUGUUUAUAUAGCACUAGGACACCUUUGCGCGACGAACAUUUUAGUCGUGCAAACUUCAUGUUCGUUGCACAAAAUGAGUCAUCAAUGCGCAAUUAAUUGGAAGAUUUGAACGCAGACUGACUGUACUUUGGCGACAAA